UACGGAGGGUGCGAGCGUUAAUCGGAAUUACUGGGCGUAAAGGGUGCGUAGGUGGUAUGGUAAGUUAUCUGUAAAAUCCCUGGGCUCAACCUGGGCAGGUCAGAUAAUACUGCUGUACUCGAGUAUGGGAGAGGGCAGUGGAAUUUCCGGUGUAGCGGUGAAAUGCGUAGAGAUCGGAAGGAACACCAGUGGCGAAGGCGGCUGCCUGGCCUAAUACUGACACUGAGGCACGAAAGCGUGGGGAGCAAACAGG
rnacentral:rRNA from 1 species